rfam:Aedes albopictus isolate Foshan contig84020, whole genome shotgun sequence.
UAGCCUAGUGGUUAAGGCUAUGGAUCGCCAAUCCGGAGACGGCGGGUUCGAUUCCCGC